UCCUCGUUUAAGCGAGGCAGUCUGUCCAGAGUGCUCCCUGCUCUCGCAGGGGUGGCAACAGGACACAAGGGUUGCGCUCGUUGCGGGACUUAACCCAACAUCUCACGACACGAGCUGACGACAGCCAUGCAGCACCUGUGUACGCGGGUAUUGCUACCUCGUCAGGCUUUCACCCUUCUACUACGUACAUGUCAAGGCCAGGUAAGGUUCUUCGCGUUGCAUCGAAUUGAGCCACAUACUCCACCGCUUGUGCAGGCCCCCGUCAAUUUCUUUGAGUUUUAAUCUUGCGACCGUACUCCCCAGGCGGCGCAUUUAACGCGUUAGCUUCGAUACUGCGUGCCAAAUUGCACCCAACAUCCAGUUCGCAUCGUUUAGGGCGUGGACUAC
rnacentral:misc_RNA from 1 species